GACGAACGCUGGCGGCGUGCUUAGCACAUGCAAGUCGAACGGAAAGGUCUCUUCGGAGACACUCGAGUGGCGAACGGGUGAGUAACACGUGGGUGAUCUGCCCUGCACUUCGGGAUAAGCCUGGGAAACUGGGCCUAAUACCGGAUAGGACCAAGAGAUGCAUGUCUUUUGGUGGAAAGCUUUUGCGGUGUGGGAUGGGC
rnacentral:rRNA from 1 species